rnacentral:rRNA from 1 species
CCUACGGGGGCUGCAGUGGGGAAUAUUGGACAAUGGGCGAAAGCCUGAUCCAGCCAUGCCGCGUGUGUGAAGAAGGCCUUCGGGUUGUAAAGCACUUUCAGUGGGGAAGAAAGCCUUGGGGCUAAUACCCUCGAGGAAGGACAUCACCCACAGAAGAAGCACCGGCUAACUCCGUGCCAGCAGCCGCGGUAAUACGGAGGGUGCGAGCGUUAAUCGGAAUUACUGGGCGUAAAGCGCGCGUAGGCGGUCUGAUAAGCCGGUUGUGAAAGCCCCGGGCUCAACCUGGGAACGGCAUCCGGAACUGUCAGGCUAGAGUGCAGGAGAGGAAGGUAGAAUUCCCGGUGUCGCGGUGAAAUGCGUAGAGAUCGGGAGGAAUACCAGUGGCGAAGGCGGCCUUCUGGACUGACACUGACGCUGAGGUGCGAAAGCGUGGGUAGCAAACAGGAUUAGAUACCCUAGUAGUC